rfam:Oryza meridionalis cultivar OR44 (W2112) chromosome 2, whole genome shotgun sequence.
AAUAAACGCAACGAUGAGUUUUCGUGUCCAACUUUGAUCGUCCGUCUUAUUUGAAAUUUUUUUAUGAUUAGUAUUUUAUUGUUACUAGAAUAUAAAACAUGAGUAGUAUUUUAUGCGUAACUUGUAUUUUUUAGUUUUUUUAAAAAGUUUAAAUAAGACGGAUGAUUAAAGUUGGACACGAAAACUCAUGGUUACGCUUAUU